rnacentral:lncRNA from 1 species
UCUGAGAUAUUGUCUGGCUUCAACGCAGAUUUAAUUAUUCACAUGAAAUCUCUAACCAAAGAAAAUGUCUUCAACAACAAGUUUUUAUUAGAGUAAAUAUUUUUAUUGUUUUAAUACUAAAAAUAUACAAACAAAUAUUUAAGUUCACUGCAGUUGAGUAAAUAAGAAUGCUGGAUGUGUGAUGUUUGUCCUGGAUUUGCCACUUGCAACCGAACAGGUUAGCGGCUUGGUGUCUUUAUAAUUUUCCCCAUACGUAAUGUGAAUUCAAGCCAAUUUCAUUUUGAAAAUUUUCUAAGAAGAUAUUCUUUUAAAACAGAUAAUGCAUGACUAUUUUAACAACUGUAAAAAAUAAUCUAUGAAUGUUUUUCGUUUGGCCACAACACGAGCCAAAUGAUUUUCUCUGAAAAAACAUGCACCAGCACUGAUUAUCGGCCGCCGUUAAGUUAACUGCAUCCUUCUUAUUCUUUAAAGUAUUUUUUUUUUGGGGGGGGAAGAACGUUUUGUCAGUAAAAUGCACUAUUUAUAAUCUGUCAUUUUAUUUUGUCCUUCUGUUAUGUAAAUAACCAACUUAAAAUAAAUAUUUCGUAAGCUGAGAAAGCCCAGUAACGGUCGAGAGGUAAGAUAGUUGAGCAUGUUAAAUCCAAGCGGCUGCAUGAGAGGUUUCGAGGUUUUUCACAAGUGUAUUGUGAAUUACCAGCCUGUUUCCCUCAAAAAAUCUCUUCUUUUAGAUAUAUGUCGAUUCAGAAGCUUCUGGAUUUCUAUCACCCGAUAACUGCAGAAGAAGAAGAGAAUAAAAUACAUUAAAAAAUGUUUACAAGCUGGCCUUAUUGCAUAAUCAAAGGGAAAUCUUGCAGAGGAAACAUAAACUGUGUAACCAUGUAGAUAUAUGUCGAUUCAGAAGCCUCUGGAUUUCUAUCACCCGAUAACUGCAGAAGAAGAAGAGAAUGAUCCCCUUCCUAUGCAAAUCAGCAACUCUUACAGAAAUAAAUUAAACAAUGUUUACAAGCUGGCCUUAUUGUGUAAUCAAGAAGAAAUCUUGCAGAGGAAACACAAACCGUCUAACCAUGUAGGCAAGUUUGAAAGAAGACCGAAUGGUGGUAUGUUAAUCUUUUUAACCCUUAGCCUGUCGAGUGAUUUUCUACAAAUACCUUUAAAAAUGUUACUAAUUCUGGAGUAAGCUUUUCUUAAAAUAUCGGGAAAAUAACCCUAAACCUCUGAAAAAUGCCAGCUGGUGCUAUUGUUAGUCCUUUUCCCUCCAAGAAUACUUGAUCAAGGGUUCGGACUGUAAGUGACAUGGAUUACUACCAUAAAUAUUAGUACCCCUAGAUGUGAGUUGUCAAGAAAGUCGCAAAAGACUAGUUUCUCCGUGAUGACCGUCUGAACGCUGCAGAGUUUACACGUGCGAAUACUAUCUUAAAAGUUUUCUUUCCUAAAAGACUCUUCUUUUGAAACAAGUUGGUUUUAAAAUUUACCGGCUCUUUUUUUAAUUAUUAUUCAUGUUUAAGCUAAAUUACCUAAAUCUCUGGGUCAUUGUAUAUCAUAUGAAUUUCAAUGCAGAUAGGUUAAACUGCUAUUAUCAAAAUCCAUAUUAAAAUAUCUGGU